GAUGCCCGAGACCUGCUCCCCUGCCCAGCCCCCUUAUCCUGCCUGACCUCUGACUCUAAUAUCUGUCACUGCAUGUUACUAAUAGGUUGAUUUCAUUUUCUCUUUUCCAUGUUCCUCGUGAUUCCUGGCCACUAGCGGAGGGUGAAUGAUAUUGCGCUGGUCAGAUAUUGUGCAUGUGUGAUUGUGCUUUAUAUACGUCAGGUAGACAGGCCUUCUCCUUGCCGCUGUUUGUCAAGCUUGAUGCAUGACGCCCGCUAGGUGUUCGAUGAUUUGCCCCAAAUAGGACAACAUCAUCGUGGUCAUCCCACAGCCACAGAGAGCGUUGCUGAUUAUUGCAGGUUGUGGAAAUUCAUGGGCCUUAUUCAGUGAUGCGGCUAUUAGUGGGAAAACACUCAGGUGACUGCAUCUGCUUUAAUAUAUUUGUAAAUUAAUUUAUGUGUAUUGCAUCUCCCUAUUUCGUCAGCUGAGUAUAUUGCUUUGUGGUGUUUUGGUGCCACUUCAAUCUAAGGUUUGGACUAAUCAUUUAAUUAUCCUUUUUCUUAAUCUAGUUUGCUACCAGAGAACUUUAAGCCUGACCUCAGCCUUAAUCUUAUAUAGAGUGUAUAGUGUUUCAUGAGAAUUAGGAACAUGUAGUUAUGUUAGCAAGCUUCUUUGCGAUAUGCACGACACUAAAUACAGUAGGUAUUCGUGCAUUCAAACAGCAGAUCGGCAGCCUACCAUUCAAAUAAUAGGUUUAGUGUUUAGUGUUUUUUUGGAGUGCAUGUUGUGCUGCAGCUAAAGUGCUAAACUGAGUGGGGUUUCCCUCCUUUUCGAAAAAAAUAAAAUAUGCUUGAGUUCUUUGGAAUGACUGCAUUUGUAUUGUUUUCUUGAAGUGCAGCUAUGUGAUUCUAAAAUAAUUACUUCAAACAUUUUAGGCCACCUGUACUGAAAUCAGAGCUAUUCUGGUUGAAAUUCAGACCUACAAAAUCAUUAUAAUAGCCUAUCAGUAGUUUCUAUGGGUGUUUUUGUGGUUUCCUCUACAGAACAUGGUGAUGUGCACUUCGGGAUUCCAAAUGACCAUUCUGCAGGAAAGUCAUGGGUGUUCACGUGAAAGAUUGUCAGGGACAUUACAAUGGCACAUAGAAUUGGAAUAUUUUUUCUGUAUGUACACCACAUACUUGCCGAAACGUUUGAAAUAACUUCAGUAUGAUAGAGGAGGAAGAUAAUGGACAGAAGAGUCUUCCAGGCCAUUCAACAAAUUAUAUUCAGAUGCAGGAAAUUUUCAAGAAGGAGCUAAACUCGAUCUUCCAUAGCGCGAAAAGAAGAUGCAUGCCAGCAGAUACAUUUUCUUCUCUUUCAUUUGCAUUUUGUAUACGGCUUCAUUGUAAUAAUCGCAGGCAUUUUGCCUCCUGUAAUUCCCUAAAAAAACCUUCGGUUGAGGUGAUAUGGAAUGAAAUGCAGACUGGAUCUGGUUA